CAAGUUGAAGGUCUAAAUUGAUAAUCACUUUAUUUCAGGAGUCCAACACUAUGUCUGAAACAUCACCAUAGAACAAGAUGGAUGGAUGUUUUCAUCACAUCUAUGGAUAUUAGACCUAGAAGAAAUGCCACCCAACCUCCUCAGUUUUGUAUUUAUUUGACUGAUAAAAGAAAAACUUCAGCUGAAUUAAAUUUAAAGAAGUUUAACUGAACAACCAACGAUUCACGAAUCAAGCAGCUUUCCCAGCCAGAGUAGGCUCAGAGACUCCAGCACAGCCACAUGGGAGAAGAUUUAUGGACAGAAAAAGGAAAGUGAGGCACAGAAGCAACUAGAUUGGUUACAGGUUGGCAUUUGCCUUAUUUCAACAUGUUCAAACAAUUGGCUACAUUUGGCCAAAACUCAAUGAUUGGCACAAGUGUAAGCUACGGUCUGUUUACACCUCCACUUGUUAUAGUUCACAAUGUACAGAAAAACCUUUAAGUCGAACUUAAAAUACGUACAGAGGCAACUUUAGGCUAAACUUGAUUUAACAGGACUUUGGAGAAUUGUUAAUUUGAGUAUAUUAGGAAUAUAGCCAUUUUGUGUAUAAAAAAGCUAUGCGUGGUUUUACAGGAACCUAGUUCAAGAAAAAUCAGACAUAUAAAACAGACUAAUAAGGAAGUGCUUACUCUGAUUAGAAAAUUAUUCACCUUACAGGAUAAUUUGCAUCAGAGUUCAUUUUAUCUGUGUGCAUCCGAAAUAUGAUUUUGUAUUAAAAGUGAGUACUUAUUACUAUCUUAAAUUUUAUUGCAUUUGUCUAAUUAUCCAGAUAAUUAUGGUUUUUAAGAAAGAUAUGCUUUCACCUGAACUACCCCAAACCUGAGAAAUAAUGUUAUUUAUAGAACAUUAGAACUGGAAGGGAACUGAGAAACCCUUUAACCAAGCUGUAUGUAGAUUUGUUUUUUUAAUGUUGAGCUUGUAGUUAGAAUGUAGAUGCAGGAAAGUUGAUCAGCAUUAUCAUCACUUAUUAAUUUAUUCUAGCUCUCAUUUUGUAAGUGUGUGUGUGUGCAUGUGUGUAUUUGGCGUAAGAAGUUGGCUAAAAUUUCCUAGCCUAAAAAUGAUCAAAGGAGUAUUUUCUUGAUCUGCAGUCAAAUGCUCUACCCCUGAGCUAUACCUUCUCCUUAAAGGAGUAUUUUCUACUACCCCUUUAUUCAGCAAGUAGCAAAUAAAAAGAAAGGAACCUUAAAGUCUUUAUAGGUGACUUUUAUUUGAAAAAUAUAUGACAUAUGACCCACAUCUAUGUACUAGUUUUAAAUGCUAUCUGGCCUUUGUUAUUAUUUGUCUUAACAAAACAAAACAAAAUCGUGCAGUUGUCAGAGGUGUGUGAACCAGAGCAACUCCAUCUUAAGUAGGAGCUGGGUAAAAUGAGGCUGAAACCUACUGGGCUGCAUUCCCAGAUGGUGAAGGCAUUAUAAGUCACAGGAUGAGACAGGAGGUCAGCACAAAAUACAGGUCAUGAAGACCUUGCUGAUAAAACAGGUGGCAGUAAAGGAGCCGGCUAAAACCCACCAAAACCCAAAUGUCGACGAGAGUGACCUCUGGUUGUCCUCACUGCUACACUCCCAACAGCACCAUGACAGUUUACAAGUGCCAAAGCAAAUCAGGAAGUUACCCUAUGUGGGCUAAAAAGGGGAGGUGUGAAUUAUCCACCCCUUGUUUAACAUAUCAUCCAGAAAUAACCAUAAAAAUAGGCAACCAGCAGCCCUCGGGGCUGCUCUGUCUAUGGAGUAGCCAUUCUUUUAUUCCUUUACUUUCUAAAUAAACUUGCUUUCACUUUGCACUGCAGACUCGCCCUGAAUUCUUUCUUAUGCGAGAUCCAAGAACCCUCUCUUGGGGUCUGGAUCAGGACCCCUGUCCUGUAACAUAUUUCUGGUGACCAUGAAGGGACUAUAGUGCAGUAGCCCUGACCCAAUGGCUACCUUUGGGUAAGUGUCGGGGUCCUGUAACGUCUUUCUGGCGACCAAGGAAGCGACUAUACUGUGGAAACCCCCGACCCAAAGGCUACCUUUCGGUAAGUGGUGGGGUCCGGUAACAUCUUUCUAGGGAACCACAAAAGGGACAAUACUAAGGAGACCCCCCCCCCUCGCCUGACCCAAAGGAAAUAGACUGCAGCACUGAUGGGACAACUUUGGGUAAGUGGUGAGGUACCCAGGUAAAGAAUGGGAUUGGGUUAAGGGCCCAACUUAGGGGAGUUAGGGUCUCUCCUAAGACAGAAUGGGUUAGAGGCCCAUCUUAAUAAAAGGCAAGGAUGCUUGACUUUAGGUUAGAGGCCCGACUUAGGAGGGUUAGAGUCCCUUCUAAGAUUUAGGGGGUUAGAGGCCUCUCUCAGUAAAGUCUCUCUCAGUUAAGAACAGGUUUGGCACUAUGUGAUGUUAACUGCUGUUCUCUUUGGAUUAAUCUGCCUUGCAGUCUUUGCUGAUGGCUGUGGGUGACAAGGUUAGGCAUGUACAGGAUCCAGGGACAUAGGGACCUUUUUCCUCCCUAAAAGGGAAACUUGAGAGCUAACAGGAUGGCUGGAAAAUAUCCCUUUGCUACCGAGAAACAGCCGACUGGACUUUUCAAUAUUGCUGCAAUGGGUGGGUCUUUCUCACCCCCCUGAGCAUUUCGCCUUCCCCACACUGCCACAGGCAAUGCUUUUCUCUCUCUCCUUUCCCUUUCUUAUCUUUUCUAUUACUCAGGGCAGCCAUCUUGCCCAGAGACCACGUGUCGUGUCGAAACUCCAAGUCAGAGGUUGGAUUAAAGAUGACAGGGCCCAUCUGGUGGCAAAUUUAAGUCUUGCCACUUUGAUAUUGGGUGCUAAGCAGAGUGGCUAACAUCUAUGUUUUAUCACACGUAUUUUACUCUGGCCAGAAUGAAAAAAAGUAAUUUUCUUUUAUAUGCGGCUUGGCCCCCAGGGCGAUGAUGCCACAAACCGGAUCACUAGGGCCAUUCAGAAGCCUGGCAUGCCGGCCAAAGGCUAGCAGGUUACCUCUGGUAAAGUUCAGAAGCUAGAAAUAUUGGCUGCUUGGCAUGGCUGAAGUCAGGUAAUAAGAGAUCUGAAAGGAUUUCUUUUUUAAAGAGCACUAUGGUUAAAAGUCAACUUAACUAAAAGUGGAUAAACAAGCUAUAGAUAUAUUUUAAAGGCCUUUAUGUUUUUCUCUUCUUGGAACUUGUUUUUCCGGGACUCCUUGGGAAAAACAGAGGAGGUGCCACAGACCCCGUUUUGGGGAAAAAUCUGUUUUCCUCAUGAA